rnacentral:rRNA from 1 species
UACGGAGGGUGCAAGCGUUAUCCGGAUUCACUGGGUUUAAAGGGUGCGUAGGUGGGCUGGUGAGUCAGUGGUGAAAUCUCCAGGCUUAACUUGGAAACUGCCAUUGAUACUAUCAGUCUUGAAUACCGUGGAGGUCAGCGGAAUAUGUCAUGUAGCGGUGAAAUGCUUAGAUAUGACAUAGAACACCAAUUGCGAAGGCAGCUGGCUACACGAAUAUUGACACUGAUGCACGAAAGCGUGGGGAUCAAACAGG